rnacentral:rRNA from 1 species
GCUAUAGUGGGGUGAGAAGCGGCGGGAAGACAGGGGGUGCGAGCGUGAAUCGGAAGGACGGGGCGUAAAGUGGGCGGAGGCGGCGGUGGAAGGCGGGUGGGAAAGCCCCAGGCUGAACCGGGGAACUGCAUGCGAGACUGCAUGGCUAGAGGAUGGGAGGGGGAAGGGGAAGUUCCGGGGUAGCGGUGAAAUGCGGAGAUAUCGGAAGGAACAUCAGGGGCGAAAGCGACGUCCUGGACCAAUACUGACGCUCAUGUGCGAAAGCGUGGGGAGCAAACAGGAUUAGAUACCCUAUUAGUC